rnacentral:tRNA from 1 species
AUUUAAAUAGCUUAUAGAUUAGAGCGUAACAUUGAAGAUGUUAAAGAAAUUAAUGUAAUUUUUAAAUA